ACAACUCUCCAAACUUUUUCUCUUUUUUCUGGUUAAAAAAAAAAAACCCACUAGGCAGUUUCAUCUCAUAUCUCUCCUUUCUCUUUGGCUAGGGUUUGAAGCACAAUCAAAAGAGGAUAACUUCUUAACUCCACUCACCUCAUAUUAGACUAGGAGGUACCUUGAAGCUUGGAAGCCUUAGAGUAUCUUGGCAGGGAUAGAUUCUGUUCGGUUCAAUCAAAUGUGUUGAGAUCUACGUGGAAAGUGAAAUCAGAAUCUUCGGAUGUUUGAAUCCCCGAAAACAUUGCUA